UCCAGCCUGCCCAGUGACAAAAUUCAACGGCCGCAGUAUCCUAACUGCGCGAAGGUAGCGUAAUCACUUGUUCUUUAAAUAAGGACUAGUAUCAACGGCAUCACGAGGGUCGCACUGUCUCCUCCCCCCAAUCAGUGAAACUGAUCUCCCCGUGAAGAAGCGGGGAUGUUAUCAUAAGACGAGAAGACCCCAUGGAGCUUUAAACCUCAACAACUCUGAUAUAUAAUCCACCACAGCUUACAGAAUCAUGCAUAAAGGUUUUAGGUUGGGGCGACCGCGGAGUAAAAAUUAACCUCCACAACGAAAAGAACUAAAUCUUUAUCUAAGUAGCUACCCCUCUAAGUAAUUAGUACACUAACGAACAGUGAUCCGAUAAUCGAUCAACGGACCGAAGUUACCCUGGGGAUAACAGCGCAAUCUACUUCAAGAGCCCUUAUCGACAAGUAGGCUUACGACCUCGAUGUUGGAUCAGGGUAUCCUAGUGGUGCAACCGCUACUGAUGGUUCGUUUGUUCAACGAUUAAAACCCUACGU
rnacentral:rRNA from 1 species